GAUGAACGCUGGCGGCGUGCCUAACACAUGCAAGUCGAACGGAGUUAUUAAGCGGAAGUUUUCGGAUGGAAGGUUAAUGACUUAGUGGCGGACGGGUGAGUAACGCGUGGGUAACCUGCCUCAUACAGGGGGAUAACAGUUGGAAACGACUGCUAAAACCGCAUAAGCAUACACUGUCGCAUGACAGAGUGUGAAAAUUUAUAUAGGUAUGAGAUGGGCCCGUCUGAUUAGCUAGUUGGUGGGGUAAGGCCUACCAAGGCGACGAUCAGUAGCCGGCUUGAGAGAGUGACCGGCCACAUUGGGACUGAGACACGGCCCAAACUCCUACGGGAGGCAGCAGUGGGGAAUAUUGCACAAUGGGGGAAACCCUGAUGCAGCGACGCCGCGUGAGUGAAGAAGUAUUCGGUAUGUAAAGCUCUAUCAGCAGGGAAGAAAAUGACGGUACCUGACUAAGAGACCCCGGCUAACUACGUGCCAGCAGCCGCGGUAAG
rnacentral:rRNA from 1 species